AGAGUGUGCACUUUGGAUGCCAACUCGUACUGGAUUGGAACUUCAACUAUCCUAUACUCUUCAUCAGCAGAAUCCAGUGGGAUAUACUGUCCCCAUCAAUCUCCCUGUGAUCAGUCAAGUUUUUAGUAGUAACCGUGCAGUAAAAAUAUCCCCAAAUUGCCCAGUGGCGAGGCUACGACCACUUGCUGGGAGAUACGUGCCUGGAGAGGUUGUUGCUGUUCGUGUCCCUCUAUUGCAUCUUUCUAAUUUUCAAAUAAAUGAUUGGCCAGAACUUUCAACUAAGCGAUAUGCGCUUAUGGUUUUGAUGCUUCCAUCAGAUAGUGCUAGACAAUGGCGCGUUCAUGAAUUGGAGCUGGUUGAAGUUGUUGCUGAUCAGGUAGCAGUUGCUCUUUCUCAUGCUGCAAUCUUAGAAGAGUCAAUGAGGGCUAGAGAUCU
rnacentral:misc_RNA from 1 species